GGGCGGGGGGCGGAGCAAGGAGGCUGUUUUAAAAGACCAAUAACAGAAACGAUCCAAGUGAAACUCCCGUCAAUGCUAAGGCACCCGGCCCCAGGAAAGCAGACCCCACAGGUGCAGGGUAGCCAAGCCCACAAUGAGUAGGAUGCUGAAAAUUCUAGGUCAUAUAACAGGAGUUGGAUCUUGACAAUCAGGCCUCGUCCAAACGUUUUUUUUGCAUCAACUAGAAAAAAGUUAAACUGAAGUUGCAAAGUUUAAUUGAUGCUGAGGGAUUAAGCUGUAGUGACCUCAUGUUUACGCCCAUCUUCUAGGAGUAAUUUGGUUCGUGCACAGGAGGUUACGCCCCAGGCAGAAAUGCCUUUUGUGUUUACCCACAGUUCAGUAACAAUGCGAUCGAAGUUUAUUCUCAGAGUUCCGCGGCUUCCCCGCACUCGGCUCUACCCGCCGCGCUCCAAUGGAACCGAGUGUCAGAUCUGAACAGCCAAUCUCCGGCAGACGUGACGUCAGGCAGUAAAUCCUAAUUGGGGAAAGCGUGAGAUGAGCCCGAGAACGCGCCGCCACCCUCCACAUCCACAUAGAUUGUUACUGCGGGUCGGCAAGGCAGAGGUCCCCGCUCCCUGGUCCUGUGUCCCAGAAAAGGACAAAGAACUCAGCAAACUCACUGAACGGAACUUUCCUGCUAGAAGCCCGGCUGAACUCGUUUGAGACUGUUUGAAAGGCAUUUCCAGUCAUUUUCUUAGCCAUGUUUGCUCAGAUACUUUCUGCGGGUAUUGGAUUAAAAUACCAGAUCAGGCCCCAGAAAGGACUGCUCAGAGUGUGCAGUGAUGUCCAUCGGAAAAUGUUUAGGUGGUUCUCUUUGGGACUAUAAACUCCGCCUGAAUGUUUCGGGUCUGCAACUUCUGGUACCCUAUUCCUCGCUGGGCAUGUACCAGGACGGGCAGCAGGGGGCGCCCGCGUAGACGGGGAAAACCCGCAGUAAGACUCGCCCCCAGGAGCAGCCCUGCUCUUGGUGAGGAGACCUCUAGGACAGGAAUACAGGAUUUAGGAUCCAUGACAACAUCAAGCCAUUCUUAGUAUUUUUUUAAAGCAAAAUCAGUUCCUUAGACCCUUAUCCGAAAGGAAAGGCAACUCACUGGAAAUGACCCAAAACACAUUAAUAGGAUUAUGAUGUCCCAAGGGAGAGUCCCUGGGAUCACGAUGUUUUUUGUUUUUUUUUUUGCGAGGAGGGGGGAAAGACCAUGAAAUAAUAAUACUUACUUUUAGCAUUUAAAUUAAAAACAAUGGUUCCAACAGAAUGCACAGUUUCAUUACAUGCAUGCCAUAGAAAACCCGUGGUCAGAACAGUUUUUGUUUUUUUUUUAAUCCAUUUAACUAAGAAUGGUGGUCUGUUUCCAAGGCUUUGUUGUUCAUAUUCAUAUUUAUUUGUGCCUUAUCCUGGCUAGUAGAUAGUUGAUAACAAAUGACAAUGGUUUUAAGAAUUGAUGGAAAAUAAAGUUGAGGAAACUUAA